rnacentral:rRNA from 1 species
AUUGAACGCUGGCGGAAUGCUUUACACAUGCAAGUCGAACGGCAGCACGGACUUCGGUCAGGUGGCGAGUGGCGAACGGGUGAGUAAUACAUCGGAACGUGCCCAGUCGUGGGGGAUAACGUAGCGAAAGCUACGCUAAUACCGCAUACGAUCUAAGGAUGAAAGCGGGGGAUCGCAAGACCUCGAGCGAUUGGAGCGGCCGAUGGCAGAUUAGGUAGUUGGUGGGGUAAAGGCCUACCAAGCCGACGAUCUGUAGCUGGUCUGAGAGGAGGAUCAGCCACACUGGACCGGAGACGCGGCCCAGACUCCUACGGGAGGCAGCAGUGGGGAAUUUUGGACAAUGGGCGCAAGCCUGAUCCAGCCAUUCCGCGUGCAGGAUGAAGGCCUUCGGGUUGUAAACUGCUUUUGUACAGAACGAAAAGGCUCUGGUUAAUACCCGGGGCUCAUGACGGUACUGUAAGAAUAAGCACCGGCUAACUACGUGCCAGCCGCCGCAGUAA